rnacentral:lncRNA from 1 species
CCUCCCUGCAGCCAAACAAGGGGGCGGGACUUCCUGCUUUCAGCUCUGACGGAUGCAGGAGUUCCUGUUGUAGUCUCUAGAGGGGUGGGACUUCCUCUUGGUGGCUAUACAUCAAACAGGACUUCCUGUUUCAGGCUCUCAUGGAUGCGGGAGUUCCUGUUUUAGUCUCUAGAGGGGCGGGACUUCCUCUCCAGUUAUACAAGAGAGCGGGACUUCCUGCUUUGAGCUGUCACAGAUGCAAGACUUCCAGUUUUAAUCUCUAGAGGUGGCGGGACUUCCUCUCUGUGGCAAUACAUCAGGCGGGACUUCCUGUUUCGGGCUCUGAAGGGGCGGGACUUCCUGUGCUCCCACCUGCAGGUGAUCGUGGGGGCGGACGGUUCCUGCGGGCUCCUCUACGACCCGGAAGUCCUCGACGGCGCCAUCGCCGCCGAGAUGGCCGACCACGCGCUCGCCUUCUGCCGAAGCCCCGCCCCUGAGCCCGCCCCCGGGAUGGCGGUGCCCCGCCCCCAGCGCCUCCGCUUCUGCAUCGGGCCGGAAGUGGGACCGGAAGUGCAGAGAGCGCGGAGACACCUGGACAGGUGAUUAAUUAAGAGGCUCUAAUUGGUCAUUAGUGCCGGCGGAUGGGGUUAAUUGGGGGGUGGCGGCAGGGAAUUGGGGGUUCAUUGGGGGUAAGCGGGGCGGUAAGCGGGGAAAUGGGAAACGUGGGGUUAAUAGGUGUUAAUUGGGAACGGGUGGGUCCUGGUUGGGGUUAAUUGGGUGUUAAUUGGAGUUAACGUGGGGUGGGCAAGAAGGAACUGGCGUUGUGUAGUACUGUAAUUGGGAAUGGGAGACCAGUGGGUGUUAAUUAGCGUUAAUUAUAGGUUGUUGGGGGGUUAAUUUGCGGUUAAUUGGGCCUAAUGAGUCACGAUUUGGGAUUAAUUGAUGUUAAUUGUAUGGUUGGCCGGAAAAGGAAGCUUUGCUUGGAAUUAGGAAGCGUUAAUGAGGCUUGAUUGAGGUUAUUUAGGAUUAAUUAGAUCAGAUGCGAUGUCGUUGGGGCUUAUUGGGAGUAAUUGAUAGAAUAAUUGGGAUGCUAAUUGAGAGUGCUGAGUGUUAA